UGAUAGCAUUGGCCAGCAAGAGAUCCAAGUUACUGCCUUGAAGAUUUUAGAAGAUUUUACAUCUUCAGAUGCAGGUUCCUGCCUUCAGAUUCCUAUAUACAUACACACGUACGGCGCAGUGUUAGGCAGUGGUGGAAGCUCCUUAUUUCUGUUAGAGAUAAGCUGGAGUACCAAGCACUCUUGCCCUUAGUAGUCCGCAAGUUACUACAUACCAGCUCUAACUACACCGUACACUUCAAAGGGAUACUAAGAGAAAAUGUGGUCUGGGAUCACUUGUGAAAUCCUGUGUCAUUCACUAAAUGAAACUGAACAAGAAUCUGUUGGAGAGGCUGAUAUAUAACAGCCCAGCCUUUCUUCAUUUUACUGUUUUUUAGCAAAUAAAUACUGAGACAUGAUUAAAUGUUUUAAUUAU
rnacentral:lncRNA from 1 species